GGGUUGUGAGGUUAAGCGACUAAGCGUACACGGUGGAUGCCCUGGCAGUCAGAGGCGAUGAAGGGCGUGCUAAUCUGCGAUAAGCGCCGGUAAGGUGAUAUGAACCGUUAUAACCGGCGAUACCCGAAUGGGGAAACCCAGUGUGAUUCGUCACACUAUCAUUAACUGAAUCCAUAGGUUAAUGAGGCGAACCGGGGGAACUGAAACAUCUAAGUACCCCGAGGAAAAGAAAUCAACCGAGAUUCCCCCAGUAGCGGCGAGCGAACGGGGAGGAGCCCAGAGCCUGAAUCAGCAUGUGUGUUAGUGGAAGCGUCUGGAAAGGCGCGCGAUACAGGGUGACAGCCCCGUACACAAAAGCGCAUGUGCUGUGAGCUCGAUGAGUAGGGCGGGACACGUGGUAUCCUGUCUGAAUAUGGGGGGACCAUCCUCCAAGGCUAAAUACUCCUGACUGACCGAUAGUGAACCAGUACCGUGAGGGAAAGGCGAAAAGAACCCCGGCGAGGGGAGUGAAAAAGAACCUGAAACCGUGUACGUACAAGCAGUGGGAGCACAGGUUUACCUGUGUGACUGCGUACCUUUUGUAUAAUGGGUCAGCGACUUAUAUUCUGUAGCAAGGUUAACCGUAUAGGGGAGCCGUAGGGAAACCGAGUCUUAACCGGGCGUUAAGUUGCAGGGUAUAGACCCGAAACCCGGUGAUCUAGCCAUGGGCAGGUUGAAGGUUGGGUAACACUAACUGGAGGACCGAACCGACUAAUGUUGAAAAAUUAGCGGAUGACCUGUGGCUGGGGGUGAAAGGCCAAUCAAACCGGGAGAUAGCUGGUUCUCCCCGAAAGCUAUUUAGGUAGCGCCUCGUGAAUUCAUCUCCGGGGGUAGAGCACUGUUUCGGCUAGGGGGCCAUCCCGGCUUACCAACCCGAUGCAAACUGCGAAUACCGGAGAAUGUUAUCACGGGAGACACACGGCGGGUGCUAACGUCCGUCGUGAAGAGGGAAACAACCCAGACCGCCAGCUAAGGUCCCAAAGUCAUGGUUAAGUGGGAAACGAUGUGGGAAGGCCCAGACAGCCAGGAUGUUGGCUUAGAAGCAGCCAUCAUUUAAAGAAAGCGUAAUAGCUCACUGGUCGAGUCGGCCUGCGCGGAAGAUGUAACGGGGCUAAACCAUGCACCGAAGCUGCGGCAGCGAACGUAUCACUUAAAGCGAUUCAGCGGGUUACGAUUGACGGAGCGAAGCGACGUCAAAGCGUAUACAAAGUCGAGUCGGUUUAAGGAUACGUUCGUUGGGUAGGGGAGCGUUCUGUAAGCCUGUGAAGGUGGCCUGUGAGGGUUGCUGGAGGUAUCAGAAGUGCGAAUGCUGACAUAAGUAACGAUAAAGCGGGUGAAAAGCCCGCUCGCCGGAAGACCAAGGGUUCCUGUCCAACGUUAAUCGGGGCAGGGUGAGUCGACCCCUAAGGCGAGGCCGAAAGGCGUAGUCGAUGGGAAACGGGUUAAUAUUCCCGUACUUGGUGUUACUGCGAAGGGGGGACGGAGAAGGCUAUGUUGGCCGGGCGACGGUUGUCCCGGUUUAAGCGUGUAGGUGUGUGUUCCAGGUAAAUCCGGUUCACUUUAACACUGAGGCGUGACGACGAGGCACUACGGUGCUGAAGCAACAAAUGCCCUGCUUCCAGGAAAAGCCUCUAAGCAUCAGGUAACAUCAAAUCGUACCCCAAACCGACACAGGUGGUCAGGUAGAGAAUACCAAGGCGCUUGAGAGAACUCGGGUGAAGGAACUAGGCAAAAUGGUGCCGUAACUUCGGGAGAAGGCACGCUGACACGUAGGUGAAGUGAUUUACUCAUGGAGCUGAAGUCAGUCGAAGAUACCAGCUGGCUGCAACUGUUUAUUAAAAACACAGCACUGUGCAAACACGAAAGUGGACGUAUACGGUGUGACGCCUGCCCGGUGCCGGAAGGUUAAUUGAUGGGGUCAGCGCAAGCGAAGCUCCUGAUCGAAGCCCCGGUAAACGGCGGCCGUAACUAUAACGGUCCUAAGGUAGCGAAAUUCCUUGUCGGGUAAGUUCCGACCUGCACGAAUGGCGUAAUGAUGGCCAGGCUGUCUCCACCCGAGACUCAGUGAAAUUGAACUCGCUGUGAAGAUGCAGUGUACCCGCGGCAAGACGGAAAGACCCCGUGAACCUUUACUAUAGCUUGACACUGAACAUUGAGCCUUGAUGUGUAGGAUAGGUGGGAGGCUUUGAAGUGUGGACGCCAGUCUGCAUGGAGCCGACCUUGAAAUACCACCCUUUAAUGUUUGAUGUUCUAACGUGGACCCGUGAUCCGGGUUGCGGACAGUGUCUGGUGGGUAGUUUGACUGGGGCGGUCUCCUCCUAAAGAGUAACGGAGGAGCACGAAGGUUGGCUAAUCCUGGUCGGACAUCAGGAGGUUAGUGCAAUGGCAUAAGCCAGCUUGACUGCGAGCGUGACGGCGCGAGCAGGUGCGAAAGCAGGUCAUAGUGAUCCGGUGGUUCUGAAUGGAAGGGCCAUCGCUCAACGGAUAAAAGGUACUCCGGGGAUAACAGGCUGAUACCGCCCAAGAGUUCAUAUCGACGGCGGUGUUUGGCACCUCGAUGUCGGCUCAUCACAUCCUGGGGCUGAAGUAGGUCCCAAGGGUAUGGCUGUUCGCCAUUUAAAGUGGUACGCGAGCUGGGUUUAGAACGUCGUGAGACAGUUCGGUCCCUAUCUGCCGUGGGCGCUGGAGAACUGAGGGGGGCUGCUCCUAGUACGAGAGGACCGGAGUGGACGCAUCACUGGUGUUCGGGUUGUCAUGCCAAUGGCACUGCCCGGUAGCUAAAUGCGGAAGAGAUAAGUGCUGAAAGCAUCUAAGCACGAAACUUGCCCCGAGAUGAGUUCUCCCUGAGACUUAAAGUCUCCUGAAGGAACGUUGAAGACGACGACGUUGAUAGGCCGGGUGUGUAAGCGCAGCGAUGCGUUGAGCUAACCGGUACUAAUGAACCGUGAGGCUUAACCUUACAACGCCGAAG
rnacentral:rRNA from 2 species